UUCUUCUGGCGCCCGGUCGGCGUGAUGAAGGCAUUGAUCCGCUGCCCCAACACCAACUGCCCCGCACCGCCAGAGUACUACCUGGAGAAGAGAGGGUACGGCAGCUACGCCAGGCAAGUGUACGGCUUGAACUUCCUUUACACCCUGCUGACCGAGAGGUUGAUGUGCAAACACUGUCUCAAGCUGAGGGAGGAGCCAAGCCAGACGCAGGCGGACGACGAGGAGGACGGCGCCCACCGUGCCCAGCUGCAGUACACCUGGCUGGCGUACAGUCCGAAAAUUCUGAUGAACCUUGCCCCGGCCGUCAGAAGCAUGUUCCCUGCCAUAGUCUGUGGCAAGCGUGCUGUGGACAGGAGUGUCGUCACCCUGAUGAGCGACCGACUCAACGCUGUGUCAAUGAGCAAGGUGCAGAGGCUGCUGCAGCAGGGCCACGACGAGUGGUACGUGGAGCGUCGGGACUUGUACCAGACUCUCCUGUACGAUGCCCACACGUCGGCGGCUGGAUCGUCUCAGCAAGGCAUCCUGUCGUUUGCCAGAGCAGCCGGCACUUACACCCUUCCCAUCGCCCCGUCUCCCCUUCCGUCUGCUCGGGUCCUGAGGCGUGCGCACCUGAUCCUGGAGAUGGAGAAGAUGCCCGUGUACAGGGACCAAAUCCUCAGUACGACUGGGGAAAUCUUGUGCAUCGACGGCACAAGGAAGAUUCUCAAGAAGAUCUACGGCGACGGCCAGGGCACCAUGCAGUACGUCACCAGCGUGCUGAAUGAGUGGGGUCAGUUCUUGACCACAGUGGUGGUGGCGUCCGAGUCCGAGGGCUGCUACGCACGCAUGGCCAGAGGUCUGGUCGCCCGCUUUCGCCGUGCCAACGCUCCUGCUCCAAAGGUGGUGUACGCGGACAACAAUUUGCAGUUGAAGAAGAGCAGUCGCGUGAGGAAGAGGAGGAAGAGGAGGAGGAGGAGGAGUCGGCUGAGCAGGGAGACGACGAGACUGCGGACGAGGGUCUCGGCAUGUCUUCUGAUACAGAGGAGGACCCGAUAGACAGAGUCUGUGGGAAGCACGUCGUCCUCACCCAGGCAGAACAGGCGGAAGAGGAGGACAGUCCUGCCCUGCAAGACGUGCUGAUGAGCCAUCGACAUCUGCAGUUGCCAGGUAUAGAGGAAGUGGAAGCACUGGCCUUGCUCCUCCUAGAACUGGCCGACAACAGCGACCACCACCUAGUGCCGGCUGACCUCAGGCAGAAGAUCGCCGCCGCCGCCAGCUCUCUCCACGACCACGACAAGACCGCCGCCCGCUUCUUCAAGCGGUACAAGUCCAGGUGGGGCUACACUUUGUUCCGUCGGUGCCUUGGG
ensembl:lncRNA